GACGAACGCUGGCGGCGUGCUUAACACAUGCAAGUCGAACGGAAAGGCCCUGCGUGUUUGGUGUGCUGGAUUGGCGAACGGGUGAGGGACACGUGAGUAACCGACCCUUGACUUUGGGAGAACUUCAGGAAACUAGGGCUAAGACCGUAUAGGAGCUCCUGCUGCAGUGUAGGGGGUGGAAAUUUUCGGCGGGUGGGGAUGGACGCGCGGAUGAUCAGCUUGUUGGUUGGGUAGUGGCUGACCAAGGCUUUGAAGGGUAGCCGGCCUGAGAGGGUGAACGGGCACAUUGGGACUGCGAUAGGCACCAGACUCCUAUGGGAGGCAGCAGUGGCGAAUCUUGCCCAAUGGGAGGACGCCUGAUGAAGAAACGUUGCGUGCGGGAUGACGGUCUUCGGGUUGAAAAAAGCUUCAGCCUGUGACGACGCGUGACUGACGGUAAUGGGUAAAGAAGCACCGGCUAACUACGUG
rnacentral:rRNA from 1 species